UCCUGGUGGAUUAGUGGCGACGGGUGAGUAACACGUGGGCAAUCUGCCCUUCACUUCGGGACAAGCCCUGGAAACGGGGUCUAAUACCGGAUAAUACUUUUCCCCUCAUGGGGGGAAGUUGAAAGCUCCGGCGGUGAAGGAUGAGCCCGCGGCCUAUCAGCUAGUUGGUGGGGUAAUGGCCUACCAAGGCGACGACGGGUAGCCGGCCUGAGAGGGCGACCGGCCACACUGGGACUGAGACACGGCCCAGACUCCUACGGGAGGCAGCAGUGGGGAAUAUUGCACAAUGGGCGAAAGCCUGAUGCAGCGACGCCGCGUGAGGGAUGACGGCCUUCGGGUUGUAAACCUCUUUCAGCAGGGAAGAAGCGCAAGUGACGGUACCUGCAGAAGAAGCACCGGCUAACUACGUGCCAGCAGCCGCGGUAAUACGUAGGGUGCGAGCGUUGUCCGGAAUUAUUGGGCGUAAAGAGCUCGUAGGCGGCUUGUCACGUCGGUUGUGAAAGCCCGGGGCUUAACCCCGGGUCUGCAGUCGAUACGGGCAGGCUAGAGUGUGGUAGGGGAGAUCGGAAUUCCUGGUGUAGCGGUGAAAUGCGCAGAUAUCAGGAGGAACACCGGUGGCGAAGGCGGAUCUCUGGGCCAUUACUGACGCUGAGGAGCGAAAGCGUGGGGAGCGAACAGGAUUAGAUACCCUGGUAGUCCACGCCGUAAACGUUGGGAACUAGGUGUUGGCGACAUUCCACGUCGUCGGUGCCGCAGCUAACGCAUUAAGUUCCCCGCCUGGGGAGUACGGCGCAGGCUAAACUCAAGGAGUGACGGGGCCCGCACAGCAGCGGAGCAUGUGGCUAAUUCGACGCAACGCGAAGAACCC
rnacentral:rRNA from 1 species